UGGUCUUGUGACCAAUCAGAUCAGCUCUUUUGCCAAUAAUUGGGCUGCCUUUGUAAACACAGCCUAAGUAACGUGAACUGUUGUAAAUAAUCAAUCAACCACGUGAGGAAUCAUAAGCAUUGCUACCAAAACAAGAUGACCGUAACAGUGUGCCCAUGGAUUUCAUCGAUUCCAACCCUAAACCCCACCAUGACCCAUUCCUGAAAGUUAGGCCACAAACCUUCUGCAUCCCAGCACAUCCUUGCCCUUUUCAUCAAACCCUCUGACAAGCAGUACCCUUCAUUUACAUUUAAGUCAUUUAGCAGACGCUCUUAGCCAGUUUACCUCAUCUGAAAUAAUAGUCGGGGGCCGGAUUCCCCAAAAACAUCUUAAGGAUAAAUCCAUCGUUGGAACCAUAGGAUCCAUUGGUUCUAAGAUUAAUUUAGCCUUAAGAUGCUUUUGGGAAAACAGGCCCAGGUUGGCUUAUAUUUGACGGAACUACUUUUUUUGAAUGUGAUACUACAACGCCACCCUCAGUCUGACGAAUGUAUUGCAUCUGCCAGAGAGGCGCUUAAUUGAAUGGUGUGUUUUCAAAGUGCCACAGGUGAUUCUGAUGGCAAUAAUUAAAAUAGCGACUUUUCAGAAUCGGCAGCAAUCGUGUUAAAAUAGUUUACCUGGCAGUUAUUGGUCAAUGACAUUUAGGAAGACUGCUUCGUUUCCACUUGCAAAAAGGUGACAGAAAUAUUAAGAUUUCAGAUAGAGCCGAACCACUUCACUAUGCCUAUGUUUUGCAACGUCUUCGUGUGGUUCAUUGGAUAAAAGCUGGAAAACUGUCGGAAGAAAGCGAGAGGAGUUACUGGUGAAACACGGGUGUUUUGGAGUGCCGCUGGAGAGUUGGCCACAGUGUUGAGUAUGGGCUGCUACCCUGGCUAAGCUGGACCACUGGGAAGCCUGCCUAUCCACAGCCCUGAUGUGGCCAGCCUACUGAAGCUGUUCUGUCUGGAGCUUCCAUAACCUAUUUUCCACCCCCUAGACAUCCACUCUGCCCUGUUAAAGGCCCAGCUUCUGCCCACUGUGGAGGAGAGGUCCUCGGGCCACCCAGCUGCUGUUCUGCCUACUGCCUGACAAGAACUGUGCCUUUUCUCAGACACUUUUUCCAUUUCCUCUCAAAGGUCUCCGGCAGGUGUGAAGAACAGAUGACUAGUAUUAACCUGGCUUUAGUCUAUGCCCUGAGCCACAGCCUGCUUCCCCAGGCCAGGCUCCAGUCCCUCAUCCCUGUUGGCCAGAAUGGAUUCGGUGAAACGUUGGGUGUGUUUCGGCCAAAAGGCUGAGUGACUGUGUCCACCUGUCUUCUGGUCUGGGGAAAGCUGUACCGACCCCCCCCCCCCC